rnacentral:rRNA from 1 species
GACAGAGGCCUCAAGCGUUAGGCGGAAUCACUGGGCUUAAAGCGUGUGUAGGCGGACGCCUAAGUGUCUUGUGAAAUCCCCCGGCUCACCCGGGGAACUGCUGGGCAUACUGGGCGUCUUGGGCCAACUAGGGGCAACUGGAACAAGCGGUGGAGCGGUGAAAUGCGUAGAUAUUGCUCGGAAGGCCGGAGCCGAAGGGGCCCAACUGGUACGUAACUGACGCUGAGGCACGAAAGCGUGGGGAGCAAACAGG